GUGCUUUAUCCACCUGGCAAAUUCAUGUUUAUUUUUUUCAUUGAGGCCCUUUUUAACCACUCUAUGGAAAAAAAAAUCAUUCCAGUGAUUCAUUUAGCUUCAGUGGUGAGAGUUUGGUGAAGACAAGAGAAGUGGAAAAUGAAGGGUAAGAGAAUACCAGGAAGAGUUCCAGACAUUGCUGGAAGCAGAGAUGGAGAAGGUGUUACCCACACUGGUUCUGGUACCUGGGACCCAUUUACCCUGAGGAGAAAUUAUCCAGGUAGCAUGCUGGCUUAGCGCCGAGACCACCAAGCAAAGAUUCUACCACUCGGCUUGAGGAGUGAGCUCUUACACUAACUGUCCUCCGCACCAUACUGAUGAGAUGGGGCACAUCCAGUGGUCCUCAAAGAUGCAGAGAGGCUCAAAUGACUCAGACGGGAUCAUUACAAACUCAAGAAACAGCACUUGACCCAGGGCCACCUGACACCAGCGCUCUUACUGUUAAUCACUUUGUUUAUCCUCCUCCUCUAAGAACUGUCUUUCCA
rnacentral:lncRNA from 1 species